AUUGAACGCUGGCGGCAGGCUUUACACAUGCAAGUCGAGCGAGCGGCGGACGGGGUAGUAAUGACUGGGAAACUGCCUGAUGGAGGGGGAUAACUCCUGGAAACGGUAGCCAAUACCCCAUACCAUCAGAUGUGCCCAUAUGGGAUUAGCUAGUAGGUGGGGUAAUGGCUCACCUAGGCGACGAUCACUAGCCGGUCUGAGAGGAUGAUCAGCCACACUGGAACUGAGACACGGUCCAGACUCCUACGGGAGGCAGCAGUGGGGAAUAUUGCACAAUGGGCGCAAGCCUGAUGCAGCCAUGCCGCGUGUAUGAAGAAGGCCUUCGGGUUGUAAAGCACUUUCAGCAGGGAGGCGUUACUCGAAGAAGAAGCACCGGCUAACUACGUGCCAGCAGCCGCGGUAAUAC
rnacentral:rRNA from 1 species